rnacentral:lncRNA from 1 species
UUUGUUUUCAAACUUCUGUACUGAUAUAUUCUAUUUGCUUGAUUAGCCUUUUAUGUUACUGUUUUAUCAAACUUAUGUUUGGAGCUUCAGAGAACUCGGAUAUUAAAUGGAUUUUGCUAGUUAUGCUAUGUUUAUUUGCACUAAUGAUCCCGUACAAUGUUAGUUAUUACUUUCAUGUUUGAUUAUUUGCACUAAUGAUCCCGUACGAUGUUAGUUAUUACUUUCAUGUUUGAUUAUAAGUUUUACUUUUGGUCAGUACUUGGCACUUGUUCGGUAUACUCUUAGAUUCAGC